rnacentral:misc_RNA from 1 species
CAGGCGUAUGUGUAUACUUGCAAAACGACUUAUUUCUAUCAUCAAAUCACCAGAAAAGAAAGAAAGAAAAAGAACGUGAACAAUCACCACCUAAUAAUUAACUACGUACGUCUUCUUUCACCCGGGCCUCCUUCGGCAACGCUUGCUUUCUCCCCAUGGGCCAUGUCCAGCCAGCUUCCACCUUUCAAAUGUACAACGGCGCGCACACGCACGCGCAAGUCCGCAGUCCGUGCCGUGGCGCGAUCACCUCCUCUUGUUCUUGCUGCCGAGCACGAGGCUGAAGUAGAAGAGGAUCCGGAAGAGGAACCCCCAAGCCAUGGUGACGAGCAGGCACUCCCACUUGCCGAGCUGCGUCACCGCCGCCUGCUGCAGCACGCCGCGGCCCGUGACC